rnacentral:rRNA from 1 species
AGAGUUUGAUCAUGGCUCAGAACGAACGCUGGCGGCGUGCUUAACACAUGCAAGUCGCGUGCGCAGUUCUUGUAGCAAUACGAGAAUCGGCGCACGGCGCACGGGUGCGUAACACGUGGGCAAUCUGCCCUCCGAUGGGGAAUAACCCCGCGAAAGCGGGGCUAAUACCGCAUAACAUUCCUUGGACUACGGUUUGAGGAUUCAAAGCUAGUGAUGCGUCGGAGGAGGAGCCCGCGCCCGAUUAGCUAGUUGGUGAGGUAACGGCUCACCAAGGCAAUGAUCGGUAGCUGGUCUGAGAGGAUGAUCAGCCACACUGGAACUGAGACACGGUCCAGACUCCUACGGGAGGCAGCAGUGGGGAAUCUUGCGCAAUGGGCGAAAGCCUGACGCAGCGACGCCGCGUGGGGGAUGAAGCUUUUCGGAGUGUAAACCCCUUUCGACUGGGACGAAUGCCCGCAAGGGAGUGACGGUACCAGUAGAAGAAGCCCCGGCUAACUACGUGCCAGCAGCCGCGGUAAGACGUAGGGGGCCAGCGUUGUUCGGAAUUACUGGGUGUAAAGGGUUCGUAGGCGGUGUGGCAAGUCGGGAGUGAAAUCUUUGGGCUUAACUCAGAGGCUGCUUCCGAAACUGCUGUGCUUGAGUAUGGGAGAGGCGCGUGGAAUUGCAGGUGUAGCGGUGAAAUGCGUAGAUAUCUGCAGGAACACCCGUGGCGAAAGCGGCGCGCUGGACCAUAACUGACGCUGAGGAACGAAAGCUAGGGGAGCAAACAGGAUUAGAUACCCUGGUAGUCCUAGCCCUAAACGAUCAGGACUUGGGGUGUCGCCCGUUCGGGCGUCGUCCCGGAGCUAACGCGUUAAGUCCUGCACCUGGGGAGUACGGUCGCAAGACUGAAACUCAAAGGAAUUGACGGGGCCCGCACAAGCGGUGGAACAUGGUGGUUCAAUUCGACGCUACGCGAGGAACCUUACCU